rnacentral:lncRNA from 1 species
GCCGGAGGUUGCUCGACCCGGCCACCCCGGGAGUUCCUCCUUAGCCUGGUCCAGUCGGAGGUUCCUCGGCCUGGCCGCGUUCUCCCGCCAUCCUCGGACCCGGGAGGGUCGGAGGUUCCCCCCUUUCCUUGCUCGUGGACCUCCGCCGGUGUCUCAGUCCCUGCACACACUUAGCACGACCAGACGAGUCGUCAACAUUAGCAUUUCCCGAUGAAGGAUAUCCUCCGACGCCUCAGACGUCGGAGGUUCCUCGGGUGAAGGAUAACCUUUGACGCUACCAGGGGGAAGGAUGCAGCUG